rnacentral:rRNA from 1 species
GAUUAUGGCUCAGGAUGAACGCUAGCUACAGGCUUAACACAUGCAAGUCGAGGGGCAGCAUGGGCUCAGCUUUGCUGGGUUUGAUGGCGACCGGCGCACGGGUGAGUAACGCGUAUCCAACCUGCCCUUUACUCCGGGAUAGUCUCCUGAAAGGGAGUUUAAUACCGGAUGUGUUUGUCUUUCCGCAUGGGAGCGACAAAUAAAGAUUGAUUGGUAAAGGAUGGGGAUGCGUCCCAUUAG